CUUUGUAGGGGAGGUGCUCCAGUCCUCUGAUCAUCUUUGUGGCCCUCCUCUGGACCCUCUCCAACAGCUCUCUUGUCUUUCUUGUACUGGGGACCCCAGAUCUGGAUGCAGUAUUCCAAAUGGGAGCUCAGCACUUUGGUGUCAGCUCUGCUUCUUCACAUGCACGGUGAAGAUUUCUUUUGUGCAUCAUAUGUGUCUUUUCUGCUUGUUUAUGACUUGAAUCAUAUGGCAUGAAUGAAAAACAGUAUCCUGCAACAGCCACGUGCACAUAUUUCUUGACUGCUCAAACAGGAAUUUGUUCCAUUAGUGCUCUGUAAUUCUUCUCAAUCACUUAACUCUUGUGGGAAGCUUCAGACUGCUUUCUUUCUUGGUGAAAUGAUUUGAAACCUUUUGCUUUGCUUUUAAACAAUAUAUGUGUGUAUGUGCAUGAGCCUUUAGAUGUGUAGCAUUUAUACAGUGGCGCUCUGGUAAGAAGGAUGAGCAGAUUGAUUCAUGUGCUUCCAAAGGGAAUCUUGCCCUGGUCUGAGACUUUGCCUUCCUGAUCAAGUUCUUUCCAUGAACAACCCAAAAGAAAAAUAGUUUUGAUUUGUGAGCUCUUUAGAGCACAACCUGCCGUUUAUUUGUAGUGCUUAGUACUGCAGGCUCAUCUAAAUAAUUCAUUUCCCUUAUUUUAAGAAUAAGGGUCAGAGGCGGUCACAUUCUUCUCAGCUGAGAUACACUGAUGUCCACUUGUGAUCAGCUGAUGCUUCGGUCCUGUUUUUCAGUCCUCCUCCCUAUGAUUCCCUUUUCUUUUCCUCCCUGGGUCUAAUCAAUAUCACUGUUUCUGGUGGGAUUAGAAUCAGGUCAGUAGGAAUAAGAGGUAGUGACGGUAGGCACGUGCUUUGCUAAUCAUUGUAUCCCGCACUUUGCCUGAGGGGCAUGGUUUUUGAUCACUGAGCAGAAAAGUAUAUCUCCAGUCGCUCUUUGUGAGGUUUGGCUAGAUUAUUGCAGUUUAUGGAGUUUGGACAUGAAGGUUAGAAUGUUCCAUGCAUGAUUAAAAAAAAAAAAAUCAGCAAGAGGUUGCAUUUCUGUCUGUUUUUAACCUAUGCUUAAUCUUUCUCUUCCUCUUAAUAUUUGGCAAUGAGCAAUGCACUUAGAUUCACUUGCUGUUUUGCUACGAGGUACAAUUUCUCACUAGUGUUAGUUACUGAUAUAAAUUAUUUAAUGGGCAUAGUUGUGCUUCAGAAACAGCACUUUUAGCUGGGCUGUUAUGUUCUUGGACAGACAUAAAAAAGAUUACUUUCUGAGGAAACUGUUGGAAAUAUUCUGUAUUUAAACAUCAAAAUUGUAAGACUUGAAUGUGGAAGAAAAUGUCAUUGUGUUCUAGUAAUAUUUACUCUAAUGUCCCAUUUGAAUUGCCUGUCAAUGAUACAUAGCGAAAUCUCAUCUCCAACUGAGAUACAGCUUGGAAAUACCAGUUUCUAAAGAAUCCCUGAGGUUUCAAGUAUAACUUUGAUGAAUAAUCCUGUGAUUGGACUAUUUUUUUCUGGCAUACUUUUUCUCUGCAACAUCUAUCUGCUUUUUAUAUUUUUAUACUAGAAAAGAUGAAUACUGGUUAUCUACUUUUUGAACUUCAUUCAGAGGUCUUCCCAUCUUCAAAGCAGUAUAUCAAAUUUAGCUAAUUAAGCCUCUUUGCACAUUUUACAUCUAGAAGUGUGGAGCACUUUUCAGUUUGCUGCCAAGGCAAUUUACGGACAGAAUAUAAUUUAAUACCUGCAAGACAUACUCUUCAAAGGCUAGCAAGGCUGUUCUUUUGCCUUGUACAGCCAUAUCCUGAAGGGUUUGGGUAGUCUCAUCAGAGAAGACAAUCUUUUUGGAGUCAGAGAAGACAAUCUUUUUGGAGGGGGAGGCAGAAGAUUUCCAUCUUAAAUAAUCUUGCUUAUUGCUUCCUUUGCUUGUAAUGUUUAUGUGCUCGCCAAGCAUCCUGGAAAAUGCUCACUGCUGGAAUUCAGGGCCGGGCUGUGUACCCUGGCUGCUGUGCCUCUCAUAGGAGUGAGUUGGAGCAGAGCUGAGAUAUUAAGAGCAAGAGUGAAAGCUUUCAGUGUGUAUUAUUGGGAAGACAAACUUCUUUAAUUAAGGCUCUAUUUGGGUAGCUCUUGUUUUGCUACAGGUGGCUCUUGUAGGCCCAUUUAUAUACCUCAAAACCAUAAAGCACUAGUAUUUACAUGGUAUUUACACACAUUCAAAGAUGUAAAGAAGACAGAAUUUAAGUGAGAGUUAGACUCAGAAGAAACUCAGAAGAAAAAUUACAAAAAAAAAAAUAGAAAAGAAAAGGAAGGAAAUAAAGGUUUUGCAGGUUUUGGUAAUUUUUGCCUUUGAAAGUGCUCAAAUCAACAGUGGAUUAUUACCUGAAUACAGAAAAAAGUAACAGCUGAGUUACAUCCAUGCCCAGGACAGAAAAAUCUCUGAAAUCUACAGCAAUAUUCUGAGAUGUAUUGAAUUUUCAGUUGAAUUUCACUGCUUUUAGUGGUGCUCAGUUUAUUCGGCUUAAGGAAGCAGCCACUAAGGGCUGGACUUAUACUUCACAGAACUGCCAAAGGGAUACUGUCAGAUUUUGAUUGCUUUUGAAGAAGCUCUUUUCCUUGAAUCUAAGUCAGAUAAUUUUGGUGAUUAAUUCACAGUAUUAUACUACUUAGUUAUUCUCAUGCUUAAAUUUAAGAAAUGAGAUUGUCCUCAAAGCUGUGACUGUGCAUGGACUAAUCUCUUCCUGGUUAGAACAGCAGGAGCUUUAGGCAUGCCAAAUCAGGAUUGUGCUCUCUUAUCUAGCCUGGAAGUUGCUCAGGGUUUCACAGACCUUGUAUGAAAUCUGUUUUCUUUUUGGAUGUGGCACUGAGCAGUUUGUCAUAUUUUGAAAGUAGGAUAGAAUCAGAGAAUAUCCCAAGUCAGAAGCAACCCACGUGGAGCCAGUCCUGGCUCUGCACAUGACCACCCAACACGUACAGGCUUCAUUUCUGAGCCUGCAGACCAUAGAAAGUGGAAAAGACCUCCAUUUGAAAUGACAGGAAAGAGAGUAACUCUUAUUUCUCUGUAGGGGAAGACUGAUCCAUAAUUAUACACUGUUAAUGGGUAAGUGUGAAGAAGGAAAGUACUCUCCAGUCCUAGGGAGGACUUUGCAGUCUUUUUUUCUUCCGACAUUAACGGAUGUCUCUGUACUGCUAGGGACAGCACUGCUCUGAUUGAAGGAACAGAGUCACAGAGCUCAGUCUGGUCCCGCAGAACUGGAGGCACUCAGCCUAUUCUCAUUACUUUUCCAUCGAUCAUCACUAUAGGAAGUUUGGCUGAGCACAGGUUAAAUCUGCAGCUCCAGCUCUUAGCUCUUCAGUCAGAGACAAUUCUCCGGUGUAGUGAGUGGGGACAAAGGUAUAAAGAGAGUCAUUAGAUGUUGUGACCAAAGUAUUGCUUAAAGGUGACAGUAUUUGCAAGAUCAGUGUCUGCCUCAUUUUCCCCUUUGCUUCCACAAGCCUCCAGAAGGUUAAUGCAGUUCAUGUUUUCAGACAACGGCCAGAAAGCACAGCACUGCAGCCUUUCCUCAGGAUAUAUCCAGUGCAGGGUAAUCUUUAUAAAUACUGUGUCCUGAACUGGGAGGUGAGGGUCACAUCGCCACACAUGGAAAUGAGAAACCUUUCCCUGCACUUCUUGUAAAUGUCAGAACUAAGUGAUGAGCUUUGCAAGAGGUGAGGGGAAUCUCCCCAUCCUGCCCAUGGACCUUUUGGCACCUCAUUGUGGAGCGUGAAGCCCAUUCUGCUUUGUGUGAUAAAAGAAGUACUUCUAUUUCUGCCUCUUGGCACCACUGUCCCCCUGUCACAGGUUCACAGUGAUAAAAGGGCUGUCAGCUCCUUAAACUGGGUGGCUGUGGCCACAACUGCUCUUUGUCCCAUUGUUGUAAGGCAGAGGUGGCAGUCCGGGAAUGAGGAGUGGCUCUGCUUGGUAGCAACCUAUUCGUGAUAUGUUCCCAUCUUUUCUUGAGAAGAAAUGUGAGUAGGGUCAUAGACUCCUUCCUCAACUACACCCUAAUUACCUUGAAAUUACAGUUUCCAAGGGGGCACUGCUCUUGUUCUGUGUAAUUUAAAAUGUAUUGCUCUAUGCUAUUUUUAGGGUGGUACUUUCUAUUGUAAAAUGUUUCCUCCACCCAUAAUUCUGAGUAAGAUGUGGCGUGGUUACAAAGAAAUGCUGGCAGAGUUAACAUCCUGGGGGAUCUGAAUGUGCUCCCCUGCAAAUGGAGGCAUAACUUCAGGCCAUAACUUCAACUGUAGGGCCUCCCUUCUGCCAUGCUAGGGCUGGGAAGAAGAAACACAUUCUCAGUGUGGACAGAAACUGCCAGGAAAAGCAGCAGCAGUUGUGUUGUUGCCAAGAACCAGUUGUCUACCUUAUCCACUUCGUGUCCCUUGAGAAAAAGGCAUCAGGCAUCACCAGAUUUCGGCCUACGAUGCUGCUGCGGUCCACGCCUGCCACAAUAGAAGGCUCUGCAGCUUGUGACUGGCUCUGAGGUACCCAGUAAGGGGAAAGAAAAUUACUUCUGUCACUGUGACAGGAUUGUAGAUGGACACACAGACAAUUGUUCUAUACAGCAUGAUUGCACCAGGGUCUUUGCAGUCUACAAGGAAACUGCUUUAACACCUGAAGCACUAUGUAUCUUUUGCUAGGGCUUGUGAUGGUGGUUAACCACUGAAGUGUGUGUAUAAGCACUUGUACUUUUCCUCAAAUCCCAUUAUCUGACAAUUUUCUAGAGUACCCUGGACCUCAUUUUAUGCUGCUUUAGCUCCUCUGAGAGUUUAGAGGUAGAAGUUUGUAAGUAAAUAAUAUCCCUGAUUUUUGCACCCUAUUGAGGAACUGGGAACACAAGCCUGUCUCAUAAUAAGCACAUUUCUCCUGUAAUUAAGCUGGACAACAGUAAAUGUGAAGACUGCUUUCCUAUAAGCCCGUCAUAUUUUACUGUGUCCCCAUCCACCUUCAAUCAUGUUUGGGGUGGUAGGAGUUUGAACCACAGAUUAUACCUUUUGGCAGAGUUUCCUUGGCUUACACUGCCUUUCUGACUUGUCUGCGUUCCUUGGGGUAGAACAGAAAGGGUCCAACCAGGAUGCAAGCUCUCUGGAGUCUCUUUUAAUGCUCUCACUCAGACUUUUGUGUCUGCUGGCACUGUUGAAGCUGAAUGGACUCACGGGUGCAUACUCAUCAAAGGCUCUAGAUGGACAAGGCAAGAUGUUAAUACUGUUUAGACAGCAGCUUCUUACAUCACCAUUUUCCAAGUACCUGCUUAGCUACCAUGUAAAGCUGUAGUCUCCAAAGACCCACUGUCAUCUCUACGUUUAACAUCAAAGUAUUCCAGGUCCCUCAAACCUUCAAGUGUGUGCCUAGAAGUACUGCUACUUUAUCCUUAUAUCUGAAAAAAACAGUUGUACAAAAAUGAUAUGAAUGUCCCUGAUAAAAUUUUAAUUUACUUGUGUUCCCUAAAGGUAAACUGUGACAGAGCAGGAGAGCUGAACUCUAAUUUUCUUGCUCUCCUAGGACUGCAUGCUCAAUAUAUCUAAUGGGACCUAAAUGCAACUUUUAAUAGAAAUCUCUGCAGUAGUCAGAGUAGGAAUCCAGACUGGCUCUUCUCCUGUGCUGAGUGAUUUUGUUCAGUUUCUCUGGACUAUUACUGUAUACUCAGGACCACAGGUUUUGCUUAGGGAGUCGGCAUCUAGGAGUGGAGAGUUACUAUGCCUACACUGCACAGGGCUGUAGGUCUUUGCGUGACUUCUUGAAUGUUUUUUUUGAAAGGUUAAAGCUGAAAGGAGAAAAUGGUGUUAUUAUCAAGGGAAAGAAAGAUCACACUUUUCCUAUCACUGUGUAUCUGAUUGCCUGCUCUCUUCUUCCUCUGCCCUGCCCAGAGUAUGAAUAGGGAGUUCGGAGGUGUUUCCUGCAGGCCAGCUGCAGCAUCACUACUGGAAAGUCUCAGCCGCAAGCAAAGAACACAGGCCAGAUUGAAAGUGAUGACUUGCUGGUGACUGAUCUCAGCUGAUGGGGGAAAAAAUGACUCCUCGGUGAACUGGGCCAGCUCCCAGAAAAAGAAUCCAUUGCUUUGGAAAAGAGAUUAAUGAAGUACAUUCAGCAGAUCUGCUGGCCAGUGGACAGCAGUUUGUACUGCAGCCACCGGAUGAGGCGUUUUGUUGUGUCACCGGAUUAUUUAUAUCUUCCGUUGACCAGCACGUUGGUUUCCCUAAAGCAGACGUGUUUCUCUCUCCCUGUUACUGCCCAUGCAGAAGGCUUGGAAGGCAUAGACGAAAGUGGGACUGCAAGUUUAGCUCAAGACUAAACUUUCCCAAAUGUGGAUGCCUUGCAAGUCUGGAAAACAAAUCAAAAUACUGUAUGGAUCAUUGAGCAGUGGGAAUGGAGUAAUCUUCCUUCUCUGCUGAUCUGUGACAUGAGGUGGUGAAAAAGGUGAAAAAAUGAGCAGCAAGUGAGGAGAUCAAUAUCAGUAUUUUCAGGGAAAGUGUGGGCCUCCAAUGGCAUGUGCAGAAGCAGCCAUCUUCAGAGAGGCAGCCAUGAGGAAAUAUACACAGAAGUUUUAAGCAUCAGCCUAGAGACUGAGAAAGAAGCAUGAGCUCAAACUGUGACUAGACCUAAUCUUUCCAAGGAGCAGAUGGCCACGGCUUUGCCUCCUCCCUCCUCUGCACCAAAUGGAGUUUGGGGACAACGUUUGGAGAUGCUGCAAUUUAAAGCAGAAGACUGUUAUUUCAGACUUACAAUGUGAUUUUCAGUAGCAUAACUCUGGAAUUGAGCAGAUUCUAGAGUACUUCAGAUGCCAAAUGACUUUCCAGGAGUCAGAAAACAAAGCAGCAGCUGUGUUGCCACAACUACAGCACAACUGGUACUUUGGAAAAGCCACUGGUACCAAAGAACCUGCCUUUGUUAAGAAGAUUUUAAAACUCACCUCUUGAGUCUCUCAACAUAUGGUACUCAGAAGAGCUUUAAAGGUUAAGAGCUACCCAAACAAAAUAUUCACUGUCCAGUAGCCCUGGAGCUCAUUACCCUUAAGUACUGCAGUGUUUAUAGGCAUGCUGAGGAGGCAAAGGAGAUGAAAUGUACUUCUGCCUUCAAAAGGGGAAUUAAUGUAUUACCAUUCAUUCCUUUUAUAGAUAAUAUUGCUAUUUAGGAAGUGCUAAAGUACAUGAUGUCUUUACUGAUUAAAUUUCCUGUGUAAGCAAGAUGUUCAUAAAGUUACAUAACUGCAUUUUUCUUCCUACUUCAUUGCUGGCAGCUUCAGUACAGGCUUCUCAAGUAUUGUAGGCUUUGCUCUGUCAUCACCUCUGAGAGAUCUGAUAGCAAGGAGAAAAGAGCAGAGGGAGAGCAGGGGAAUUGCAAAUUGAGAAGGUGUGUGUCACAUUCUUUCUAUUUGUUCUGAGAUGUACAUAGAAACUAUGCUGAAAGCCUUUUGCUCCAGGAAUCAGAAAAAGCCGUUCUUAUGCCCCAUUCUGCCUCUUAAGGAAUCAGCAGCAGUCCUCUUUCAGCAGAUACAGAAAGGGUCAGUCUCCUAUUCAGUGUAAGCUUUUCUCUGAAGUGCAAUUUGUCUUAGUUCUGGCAGCAAUUAGCAUUUUUUUUCUCAGUGUAUGUGGGGGACUUGCUCCAGAUAAUUUACAAACAUCAGGAGAAAGAAGGGAGUUGGUGCUGUUUUUGAGUUCCCAUCAGCUCUUCUUUUUUGUUGCUGAGAAAUAAGAUUGGUGUUUUAUUCCUGAUGAGCACAAAUAUUUGUCCAAAGUAACUCAAAUUGUUUAUGAACUUGACUCCAUUCAAACAUUUCUUUUUAAGGCACUGUGUGAAAUCUCUUGUUUCUUCCAUGAUGAAUAUUUAUCAUCAGGUCAUGUGAAUGUUUUGGCUGACCAAAGGAUGGAGUAUUCUGUUUUGCUUGCUUGGGUUGUGAAACAGGAAUAUCUGUAACAUGACAGGGCAUGAAAGAGCCUGAAAUGAAUUAAGGCUCUUCUUUGAUGAAUGGGCUUUUCAUUUAGUUUAUUUGUUAUAAACAACUGUGGUAAAUCCACUUUCAGUAAAUCCAAAGGAUGGUUGACGCAUACAUUUCAUAGGGAUGUGUGGCGGCAGACUAGAACUGAUGAUACAUCAUUCCAGAUGGGCUUUUUAUUUUUAUUUUUCUAUUUAUUUUUUGAUAUGUCAUUCCAGAUGGAAUUCCAGAUUCUGCAGAUGAGUCUUUUUGUUAUCAUAUUUCAGCUGAAAGAACUGCUCUGCUGUAGAACUGAUACGGUAUGUACUGUGUUUAAUCUGACUAUCUCAGCUCAGAACCUGGAAGGAUGAGUAUAUUCUCAAGAUGGAUACUUCAGGAGUCUUCUAACCAAUGUGAAUCACUUAGUCUUUACCAUGAAGGGGACAGGUUUCUUCCUGCAAAAUUUCUUGCUAAAUUGGACUGAAGUAAAUGAACCAACAGAUAUUCCAUGCUGAGUGUGGAAGUCCUGAGCAGGCAUUUACAAAUAAAACAUAUGAUUAUGCCCAGUG